GCAACUUCUUCAAGCAUGGCAUAUCCAAAAAGAGAGAAUAUGCCCCAAUCAAACUAGGGCUGCCAUUAUGCUCCUCCAAAGCCCCUGUGUGUCCUCCAUGAGAAGUAGCCAGCAUCAUCGCUAUUUGUCACAUGCCCUCCGUCGUCACAUUGCUCAUCACUAUCGCCUCCCGACCUCACUCCACCAUGGCAUGGUGAUUCCAUCUGGGGUCGGUGGAGUAGGGAGGGGGCAGUUGCCAAUCCGCUUCAACUUCUGCAUUUCUCUGCCCAGUGUGCAAACUGUGGGUCGAUGGAGAGUUUUCUUCUAUAAUUUUCUUCCUUACUUCCUUUUUCUUUUUCUUUUUCCUUUUCUUCCUUUUUUAUUUUUUCCUUUUUCUUUUUCUUUUUUCCUUUUUGUGUGUGCUGCAAGAACACAGAAGAAUUAGACUUCCAGAGUAACUGUGACAUUGAAGCCAGAUGGACAUCAUUUUCCUUUGUGAAGAAAACACCAAUCAUAUUGCCACUUUGCCAGUACCUUCCAUGUUACAUCUGCUGACAAAUAUACCAAGUAAAAUUUAAGUAUUCCACACCAUUUGGCUAGGUAGAUACAUUGCAGCCUGAUAUUGAAGUGAACAAAAUAUUACCAGACUACAACACACAACAUACCGUGUGAAAGUGAAUGGGAUUGGCCUAAUUGGAUAUUCAUCGCAACAGUUCCUCAUUGAUGAGUCAACUACUCUACGGUGAAGAAGAGUUUGGUUCACUGCAGCUGAGAAACAACAGAAAGCAAGUUAUUAAGGAUACCACAACGAGAAGGAUAUCCCUGAUAAAUCAAUAUCUAAGUAUAAUCACGGGUGUGAACCUUACAGAUCAAGAAUAAUUCUGGCAUCAGAACAGAAGUGCUUGGAACAAUGACCCUGCAUCCACGUAGUACAUUUUCGUGUGGCUGUUGCAGUGGCAAAAGUCUGCUUGAACCAAACAAAGCUUGGGCCAACACUUCUCUUCCUAGGAGAAUGAUCUACAAAAUAAGGUAGUUUCAAUUAUUUCAUAUAUUUUUCAUUCAUGCAUCUUACUGGAGCUUUGAAAAUUGUAACUGCACAUACCUGUAUUAACCCCACUAUACCACAGUGCAGGGUGCAGGGUUCACACUUCAAUAAUCCAUCACAAAGCAGAGCUAUACCUUCAGACGUGCUCCUGUAUUUCUCCUAGUCUAAAUUUUUAAUCCAGCACAAGGGGGAGGUAUACCUUCAGACCUGCCCCUGUACUCCUCCCUCUCUAAAUUAGUGACACAACUAUCAGGAAACUAAUCCUAGUCAGUUAAUAUUUCUCUCUUGUCCUAAAAAAAGAAUCAUACAACCACCUUUCAUAAAGAUGUCACACAAAACUCACAUAAUGGAUUUAUAUUCUUUCCCUUAUUUAUUUUUUGUUUUCCUAUAUUCUUUUGCUGGGAGAUACGUCUGCCAUGUUGAUUUCCAAAUAUGUAACACAACUAUCAGGGAAACACACCUACACAAUUAUUUCUAACCUUUUACUGAAAGAACAUAAAACAACAGCACAAACACCUUUCAUAAAGUCACAAGACUACAACAUGUGCAAACAGCGAACGAAUGGAGAGCUUUACUCUCUCUUUUUUGAAUUUUUUUCUUUCUUUCUUUCCUUUUCC
rnacentral:lncRNA from 1 species